UUGUGUGUGUGAGUGUGUGU
rnacentral:piRNA from 1 species